rnacentral:sRNA from 1 species
GAGUCGGGUAUCAUUGAUGGCUGGAGAAGGCAUUGGUGGGCCGGAGGAAGCAAGUGCAGUGAGGCUGAUAGAGUCAGCACUGUCAGUCAGCUGGACCUCAAAUACCUGGCAGGGCCUUUCAUAGUCUUUCUGGCAGCUAUGGCAGCUAGUAUUGUUGUGGUCAUCCUGGAAAAAUGUCUGACAACCAGAUGCAGUAGUACAAAGCUAGAGAACCAAUGAAACAGAUUCAAGUAUAAAGAAAUGCAGGUUGAAAAGAAACUCUUCACAUUUAAAGUCAACAAUGUCUUAUUUGAUAUGCAACAAUUAAUACAAAAAUGUGUAAAACAAAAACUGACAAAUUUGUUUGCUUAAGUCUUUACCACACCACUCGAAUGGCUGUUACCUCAGAAGUCUCUUACUAGUUCAUUCAUUCCUUUUCAAGCUCUACUUAGACUGGAGGUACCUCAAGCUACGUGAAGUAGUUCUUUAGUUUUCACAAACCAAUGUCUUACUCUUUCCGUUAUUCCUCUCUGUCUUCUCAUCCAUCACAGUUCAUCUCUAGAGGAU